rnacentral:rRNA from 1 species
AUUGAACGCUGGCGGCAGGCCUAACACAUGCAAGUCGAGCGAGCGGCGGACGGGUGAGUAAUGUAUGGGGACUGCCCGAUAGAGGGGGAUAACUACUGGAAACGGUAGCUAAUACCGCAUACUAUCGGAUAACCCAUAUGGGAUUAGCUGGUAGGUGAGGUACUGGCUCACCUAGGCGACGAUCCCUAGCUGGUCUGAGAGGAUGAUCAGCCACAAUGGAACUGAGACACGGCCCAGAUGCGUACGGGGGCAGAAGUGGGGAACAUUGCACAAUGGGGGAAAGCAUGAUGCAGCCAUGCCGAGUGUAUGAAGAAGGCCCUAGGUUUGAAAAGUACUUUCAGUCGGGAGGCGUUACCGACAGAAGAAGCAACGGCUAACUCCGUGCCAGCAGCCGCGGUAAUAC